rnacentral:rRNA from 1 species
ACACGUAUGAAAGUCAAGCUGAAAGACUUUACUCAAUGAUGUAAGUGGUGGUGCAUGGUCGUUCUUAGUUCGUGGAUUGAUUUGUCUGGUCGAUUCCGAUAACGAGCGAGACCCCGGUGUUCCUAAUAGGGGCGGGAGCCCGUCUAGCCGAAAGGUUGGUCAGCUCCCGCCUAAGAUGUACUUCUUAGACACAUCAAGGCCGAUAAGGUCUUUGAAAUGGGUUAAUAACAGGUCAGUCAUGCCCUUAGAUGUUCUGGGCCGCACGCGCGUUACAAUGGCAUGAAAAGAAAGUGCUUCCAAAGGCGUAUCCCGGGCCUGAUGGUCCGGGUAACCCUUAAUCCCUGCUUUGACUGGGAUAGAUCAUUGCAAUUAUUGGUCUCUAACGAGGAAUUUUUAGUAAGCGUAGGUCAUUAACCUGCGUUGA